AUUCUGUCUAAAAGGCAACAACUAACCACAGUAAAGCUUUGAAAUGUAGUUGGUUUCCUGCAAUCAACUAAAUCAUUUUCUUUAGUCAUGACUAAUUGAGAAUUGUUUUUCUUCUCUCAGGUUCUUGAUUUGCCAAACUGGAUGUUUCAGAACCUCGUCCAACUUAGUUACCGAAAAGUGAUGGAGAACCUUGAUCUACAUCACACACUGUCUUAAAGCGUGGCGUUCCAGAGCGUGAAACGUACAGCAAACUCAAACAAAAUGAGAGAUUUCCUCUGCUCGGUGAGUACCAUCGGAGAGAGAGGGAAAAAAAGUCUUGCCAGAAAUAAGAAACGCGAUUUGGGUGUUUUUGACUUUUCUUUGCCUCGUCGUUGCAGGGAGUCGAUUCCUGGUCAUGCACAGCAAGUCUGACCGAAACACUAAGCACGUAGAAAUGGGAUUCCUGUGUUUGCUCUGUCAGAGGACGUUGUCGGGCGAAGAAUGUCACGCUCAUGUGUUCAGUCGGGAACAUGUUGCAAGAUUUCUGGACCGUUUCCACCCCGGCUCCCUGACUUCGAGCACUGAUGCAGAGACUUUAAUGGACUUGGCAAAACAGGCGGGGCGUGUUCACACCAUAUCACAUAUCCAGGUAUUCUUUAUCAGAAAUUGAGUUUCUGUACCAUCUUCAUGUCUCAUCUCUUCUAGUCAGGCAUUUAUUCUUUUGCAUUCAUGCAAUUAUUCCAUAUUUUCUGCCUUCAAAGGUAAUAAAGUUAGACAUGCCCAUCUGGGAGCCAUACUCCUACUCUACUGGUGAGCAUUUCUAAUGCAAUAAAUGUUCCACAUUGUCAUCUGUAAUUGUGGAUUGGUUUCUUGACUCAUUUUAUACUCUUUUGUUCCAGCAAUAACCAUCCUGACAUCUGCAAAGUGGAGAGUUGGAAAAGCAGAGCUUGAACCCACAAUUAUUCCUAAACAAAAGCUGGGUAAGUCAUGGCAAUGUGCUAUGUGCAAUAUGACCCCUGGUACUGGUACGGUUAUGGAAACAUACAUUUCUGGAGUAAUGAGGCUUGUGAGGUGGGAACCUAUUAUGAGAGUAAAUUCUUAUUCACACAUUUCUACAUGUAUUUCUAUAUUCUUCAUUUUUGACAGCUCAUUUUUAGUUUUUGUAUUAUUGCUUGCAUGUCGAUGAUUAUAAUUGAAUGCUUUUUUUUUUUGUU
rnacentral:lncRNA from 1 species